rnacentral:misc_RNA from 1 species
GUAUAUAGUAGUGCUUGUGCACAACAAGAGUUUCAUUACAUUCGAGUUUGUGUAAAAUCCUCUGCCGGCCGAAGCUAGCAGAGGCCAAAGGUUCACAGGGUAUUGGAUGAAAGUCACCGACGUGCACUUGCCAAAGCCGAAGCCGGCCAGCACUGAAGGCAACCAUUCGCAAUCAUUAAUGAUCCUUCCGCAGGUUCACCUACGGAAA